GCAGGAUUCUUGUUGACCUGGAGGGGAUUAGUCUCAGGAGGAAGUGGCUGGCAGGACUUGAACCUGAAAAUGUUCACAUGAUGAUCGGGUCCAUGACCAUCGACUGUCUGGGAAUCCUGACUGAACUCUCAGAUUGCAAACGCAAACUCUUUCCUGUGGGAUACCAGUAAGAUAUUUUUCCCUUUGUCCUGAAGAACAUGAAAUUGCCAAGUAAGCUAAGUCAGUCUGAGCUAACUCGUUUCUCUCCAGGUGCUCAAGGGUCUACUGGAGUACGCUGGAUGCUCGCAAGCGCUGCGUGUACACAUGCAGGAUCCUCGUCUGUCACCCUCCUGUGGCAGAAUCUGAAAUGAAGAACAUGCUGGCUCCUGAGGAGAAUCGCACGAUAGCACACAGUCCACCUCCCCUAACAGGUAACGCGCUGGCCUCACAGCUGCAGUCAGAACCGCCACUAAUGAAUGACGCUUAAGAUCACCCUUUUUCCUGUUUAGACUUUCCUGAUCCAUUUGAAUCACCGAGACGCUCCGACACCCUUUCACCCGCCAACACCCCCAAGCUCAGGGUUUACACCAGGAACCGGCACCCCAGCUACCCGCCGUGUCAGCGCUCUCUGGGCCCCAAGCCCAUGCCAUCAACAGGAGGUACCUCUCAGCCCCAAAGCCAUGAGAUUGUGACGGUCGGCGACUCGCUCGUAAACUCCGGCAUGCGGAAUAUCGACUCCCGCCGUCACAGCUCCCCUUCUCUUUCUCCUCCGACCCACCAGCUCAACCGACCGAGAGGAGUGACCUCCCUGCCUCACAUUUUGUCACGGCCCCUCACCUCCCCGCCACCUCUCAUCCCCUCCCCCGCCAGAGACCCCGAGAAGUCCAGACAUCCAAGCAAGGACUCGGCAAAGUGUGCAGCGCAGAGAGACGAUGAAAAGAGUCGACUGUUCUCCGCAGAUAGAAAUAGGCAGCAAUUUUCUAGAGAGCAAGGGUUAAGAGAAGCCGACAAGGGGAGAAUGUCAAGUCGAGACCAAGCUUCUAAGGAUUCUGACAAGAAUAGAUCAACAAGAGAAAAAGACUCUGACAAGGGC
rnacentral:lncRNA from 1 species